CCUAUCAAAAACUUAAAACCUUU
rnacentral:snRNA from 1 species